UGGUGUUUGGAUUGUCUCUGCCGGCUGGCUCCGUGUUGGUCCACCGAACGGUCGGCAUGCAAUCACCGUGGCUUGUAAGGAGGUGUGCUCGUCCAUCGGAGGCUGGUUCUUGUGUCCCCUACCCGUUAUGAUGGGGAAGCAGGACACUCGAUGCGAAUCCGUCAUGCGCCUUUUGUUGGGCGCAGGAGGACGAUAAAGCGCCCCCGUGUUCCGCCGAGCCCUUGUUGGUCCGGCGGCCCGUGGGGGCGUGCAAUGCUCUCGGACCCCGUGAACAUGGAGGACGGGGACUCCGGUCCCAGUCCUAAGAGAAAGCUUUCGUAUGAUGUGUGACGGCCGUCCCUGACCCUUGGUCGCCCCGGCGCGCCAAGGGCGGGGGGCGGUGUCCCCAAGGGCUGCUACCUGGUUGAUCCUGCCAGUAGUCAU
rnacentral:misc_RNA from 1 species